rnacentral:lncRNA from 1 species
GUUGUUACAACCCAGCCGAGAUCGCUAAUCUCGACUCCAAUUUCUUUCCGGCGGCCGCGAUUCCCCCCUCUCUCUUGCUCUUGGACUUUGAUCCCAGCUCUUGAUUUCGGAAUCGAUCCUUUUUAGGAGGAUUUGGAUGAUUUCCCGUGAUUGGUUUUCAUACGCAGGCUGGAAAUUAGAAAUCCAACGAGAAGAUGGAUGGGGAGUUUUCUUGGUGCUGCCUCUGUUCCUCUUAGCAGGUAUUCUCUCUCUCUCUCUCUCUCUCUCUCUCUCUCGCAUAUCAUCUUUGACGAAUCUUUGGCAACUUUGUGUUCUUGAAC